CACCAUUAGUGGAGGCAGCCUGGGGAUGUCACCAGAAUCAGAUGCUGGCAUUAUGUUUCUUGUGCAGCCUGCAGAACUGUAAGCCAAAUAAACCUCUUCUUUAGAACUUAUCCAGUCUUAGGGAUUCCUUUAUAGCAACAUGUGUUAGUCUGUUUUACAUGGCUAUAAAGCAAACCUGAGACUGGGUAAUUUAUUUUAAAAAGAAGUUUAUUUGCCUUAUGGUUCUGCAGGCUAUAUAAGCAUGUCACUGCCAUCUGCUCAGCUUCCUGUGAUGCCUCAGGAAUCUUUUAGUCAUGGCAGAAGUUGAAGAGGGAGCCAGUGUGUCACGUGGUGAGAGAGGAAGCAAGGGAGAUCCAGGCUCUUUUAAACAGUUAGCUCUUGUGUUAACUACUAUGGGGAGGGCACCAAGCCAUUCAUGAGGGAUAUGCCCCAUGACCCAAAUGCCUCCCCCAGGCCCCACCUACAACACUGAGGAUGACAUUUCAACAUGAGAUUUGGAGGGGACAAAUAUCCAAAUCAUAUUAUAAUGCAAAACAGACUAAGACAAAGCGCUACUACUCAACUGUAUCAUCAUUAGAGAUAUUCAAAAUAUGUAAAGGGUAAACAGAGAGGAUUCAAGCAAAAGGCUUGUAUUAGUCCAUUCUCACACUGCUAUGAAGAAAUAUCUGGGACUGGGUAAUUUAUAAAGGAAAGAGGUUUAAUUGGUUCACAGUUCUGCAGGCUGUACUGGAAGCAUAACACCUUCUGCUUCUGGGGAUACCUCAGGAAACUUAGAAUCAUGCUGGAAAGUAAAGAGGAA